GAUGAACGCUGGCGGCGUGCCUAAUACAUGCAAGUCGAGCGAACGGACGAGAAGCUUGCUUCUCUGAUGUUAGCGGCGGACGGGUGAGUAACACGUGGAUAACCUACCUAUAAGACUGGGAUAACUUCGGGAAACCGGAGCUAAUACCGGAUGAUAUUUUGAACCGCAUGGUUCAAAAGUGAAAGACGGUCUUGCUGUCACUUAUAGAUGGAUCCGCGCUGCAUUAGCUAGUUGGUAAGGUAACGGCUUACCAAGGCAACGAUGCAUAGCCGACCUGAGAGGGUGAUCGGCCACACUGGAACUGAGACAGGGUCCAGACUCCUACGGGAGGCAGCAGUAGGGAAUCUUCCGCAAUGGGCGAAAGCCUGACGGAGCAACGCCGCGUGAGUGAUGAAGGUCUUCGGAUCGUAAAACUCUGUUAUUAGGGAAGAACAGAUGUGUAAGUAGCUGUGCACAUCUUGACGGUACCUAAUCAGAAAGCCACGGCUAACUACGUG
rnacentral:rRNA from 1 species